UGCAGUCAGCGGCUUCUUCGGAGCAGCGGCAAACGGGUGAGUAACACGUGGAUAACCUACCUUAUGGUUUGGGAUAACUUCGGGAAACCGAAGCUAAUACCGGAUAGUAUGAGAUUUACUCAAGUAAAUAACAUUAAAGAUUUAUCACCAUAAGAUGGGUCCGCGUCUGAUUAGCCAGUUGGUGGGGUAAAAGCCUACCAAAGCGACGAUCAGUAGCCGGCCUGAGAGGGUGAACGGCCACAUUGGGACUGAGACACGGCCCAGACUCCUACGGGAGGCAGCAGUUAAGAAUCUUGCGCAAUGGGCGAAAGCCUGACGCAGCGACGCCGCGUGAAUGAUGAAGGUCUUCGGAUUGUAAAAUUCAAUAAUCAGGGACGAAUAAGCCAUUCGUGGUGAUGACGGUACCUGGCUAAAGCACCGGCUAACUACGUGCCAGCAGCCGCGGUAAUACG
rnacentral:rRNA from 1 species